rnacentral:sRNA from 1 species
GUACAUGUAUAUUCGGCGGCUGCAUCAUGACACAGCCAAUAAAGCUUAAACUAUUUACGUUUCAAAAAGAGCUUAGUGAUGGUUUCGAAAUCAUUGUAAUUUAUAGCCAACAAAAUCUUUCAUCUACCUCGUGCUCAAAUUGAUUACAUUUCAGGUGAGUUGCAAUUUUUCAUUGCAGGUCACAUCACUUAUGUGCAUUGUAUAGGAUAGAGAAAAUGCGGAGAAAUCCGACAUGGUAGCAACACAUCCAGAAGUGAGUCAUCCACCUCUGACAUAGUAGACAUGACUGAUGAACAGGUCAUCUCAUGCAUAUGCAAUACACUACAGCUUCUUGAAACAGCAGGAGCUGCAGAACUUUUGAACAGAGUAAAAGCCAGCAAAUCAAAUUCUUUCUUGUUUGUAUUUCAGAGUCACAAUGAUUCAGAUUCUUGAACAAACAUCUGUUUUGAUCAAGAGUUGCCAAUGCAACUGUCUUUGAUCACAAAUCUCAAUGACUCUUUUCUCUGAUUCUGUAAGAGAUGGUUGUAGGUAUAAUUAUGAGAGU